rnacentral:rRNA from 1 species
GACGAACCGUGCGACCGUUAUUCGGAAUCACUGGGCUUAAAGGGCGCGUAGGCGGGCUGACAAGUCUGGGGUGAAAUCCCGCGGCUCAACCGUGGAACUGCCUUAGAUACUGUCGGCCUCGAGGAAGGUAGGGGCAUGCGGAACUGUAGGUGGAGCGGUGAAAUGCGUUGAUAUCUACAGGAACUCCGGUGGCGAAAGCGGCGUGCUGGACCUUUUCUGACGCUGAGGCGCGAAAGCUAGGGGAGCAAACGGG